rnacentral:rRNA from 1 species
AAUAGGAAAGGUACGUCCGAGCAAACGAAGAAAGGUUAGGAAGUAAAAAUUAGUCUCCUCUCACUCCGCUCGACCGGCCCGACGAGAAGCAGCCCCUGCAAUGGCAAAUGAACGGGCGCGGUUGCCGGUCGAUGAGCGGCCCUAAGCGGCCCCAGCGGCAGAAGAGGCACGCGGUGCGACUGUCCUUCGACCAGCGGCUCAAGGGCCCCUAAGCGGCGCGUGGGUCCAUGAGGCGGCGGAGGGGUCAUCGACAGGCUCGCCGCCUGGCGCUGCGCGUGCGCUCACAGGUUACCGAGGCCACCAGGCUACUCGCACCGACGGCCGGUACCGGCACCAGCACACGGUGACGGAGAGGGCGACCUUCGUGCCUCCGAGCGCCGGUUCUAGGCCCCUCUUCCUCGAGGCACUGCCGCUCGAGGAGAUCCUCGUUCCGCUGGUGCAUGAGGUUCUCGUGCUGCUGCUGUUCGAAACUCCGAGGAAUACCGUUGGAAUUGCUCCUCCUCCCACCGUCGACCUACUCCUAAUUUUAGUGCGACCUCAGUGGCACGACAGGAGACUGAUGUGUCGGCCGCGGGGUACUAGAAGUCCUGCCGCCGCCGCGCCGCCGACCUGGAGGGAUGGUCGGACGGGCCGGUUUGAGGUGUUCGACGUCGAGUGCCAGUGCCUAGGUUAGGUCCUUUGCAGGACGGUCGAUCACGGUACCAAGGGGGUGCCUUACUCGUCCCUCAAGAUCGCUGCGUAAUAUGUUCCUCGAUACCGUACAAACCCGAUCCGGCAACUAGUGUCACGGAGCGGUUCCACUUUCCUAAAUGAUGAAAGGCGUACAAAUAUAACCUUGUCCAUACAGAGUGGCGUAACCACAAACGAGAAGAACUACGGGAUAUUGGUUACUUACUUAAACGAUGAGUUGUGUUUGUCAUCGAUAAACACAAUACCCUGUAACGAAACAAGAACACAAUAUUUACUGUUAUACUGAAACAAAUACGCCUUAUUAGUAGGUCCAUAAAUUUCAAGUAGGUGCAUGUAUAAAUCUUGGACUAUAAGAGAUCACACCAGUACAUAAUCAACUUUUUACUUAUAGGUAGUAUCCCAUGGUGGAAUGUAUGUCACGAAGGUCGGAAUGUCCGGAGUGGUCUUCCGGGAAACGGUUCGAAGUGACACUGCUGAUUGAAUGAUGAACUGUUUGUAGAAACGAUUGACUAUUUUCGUUGUUGUAUCCAUUUAUUUGAGUAAAAGUGUACAAUACUGUUUUACCAAAGAAGGUCGAGUGUUUUUUUGUUUCUUUUGUAUCAUGAUUAUGUAUCUCUCUGACAUAUUAACAAUUCCGAUGAAAUCCUUAAUUAAACCCUUAUCUGACUUGUAUAGUCCUAUAUGUGCUCAACUGACGUUUCUUUUCUUUAGUAGUAGAUGAUUAUGACAUGAUUUACUUGUAAUAGGUAAGUGUAGAGGUCAUAACAUGAUAAUAUGUACUGUCUCUUACUGAUUGUAAUGAGCAAGAAGAGAAUUUCGACAGUUCUUUUAUGUCAGUCAUCUUUUCAAUCUUCCUAUAACUCGUGAUUUGAGGUCAAUAGUUAUGUGGCCUGACAGAUGACUAGAGGUUGGCCAAUUAAAUUCUUAGUAGUGUAAAUGGUUAUUCCCCCGUUAACAGACAUUCUACACUAAACGAACGUACGUAAAGUAUCUAUUUAUACACGUAUUUUCAAUCCUGAACGGAUGUAUGGACCUAUAAAUGUAAGUGUAUCUCUGUUAUAUAGAAGUUAAGUGUACAUCCUGUGUUCUUACAUAUCAGUGUUUGAGUGUUAAGGUACCGUCGUUUUUAGAAGUUAUUAGACACUUGAGGUAUUUGUUGCUAUAAUAUCUAGAGAACAAAACAACUAUAUAACUGUAUAUCUUCUUCCUCUACAUCAGAUGUCCUCUCUUCGUUGGUAGUUACCACAAUUACAAUGGAGAGGUAUCAUGGUAGCCAGGUUUCCGUGAGUUCAUUUUUAGUUUUGUGUUUUUGCUGUUUACCGUGACCCUCAAACCUCGGGCGGGUAGACUAAAUCUACUAGACCCUUUCUCGUUACUAAAACGGGAGAACACCUAAAUUUUAUGUUAAUCUUUUCAAGUGACUUGACUACUUACCCACAAAAUUCGAGUGGGUUGAAGGAAUCAAAACUUUUACUUGUUUAGGUAGAGUUUUGUACUAAAUUAUGUAGUAUAAAUACGUCCGUAACGGUUAAGUUAAAAGACCAUGCGUAAACAAAUUUUUAUCCUUAUAUAUAUAUAUCCUUUUACCCAAUCAUGAGAGUCCUCAUACAUGAGGGUACGGUGUACAGCGAGUAACGAAGUUACGGAUAAAAAUUUAACGAAAUAGUAAAUUAAUUUCUCUAUUGUUGGUCUAUUAUAGGUGUGUGUGCGUGACAAAAUUUUAAACAAUCGGGCAGGUCCAAUUAUCCCUGAGACCAUCGAGUGUCUAGCGCACGUAUCAUCUACGGGAGUUGCUGUUGAGACAAACUGUAGUGUAGGAGCACAUUGUUUGUUUGCCUCUGCCGUGGCCGGUACCGGUACCGCUGCCGCUGCCCUUGCCGCCGCUAGUGCCAACCCCUCUCGUGGCCGCUGCUGCGUCGUUGUGUCGUUUGCUGCAGCCGCUUCGGUGGCUACGGCCUCUGCCUCUGCUGUGGCCACUACCUUCGUCGGUGCCGUUCCCGUUGGCGCUGCUCUACGCCGAUACAUUGCAGGGAACCGGACUGGUCGCUGCCGCUGCCGUCGCUGUAGCAGCUGCUCCUGUAGUGGUUGUUGCUGUUUGUAUACGUCGAUAGAAGGGAACCGGACCGGUCGAUGACGCUGCCCCUAGCACUGCCGUAGCGGCUACCCGCUGUAGUGGCCGCUACUGUUGUCUACGCCGAAGAAGUAGAGUAGUAGCUGCGUACCUAUAAGAACAUAACUAAAGGUACGUAAGUAACAUUAACUAUAGAGUGCUCGAUCAAGUUACUUUGUCAUAUUAGGUAGGUACGUACGGUACCGCUGGUUCUACCUCCGUACGCGUAACGAUCGCAAAGGUAGUAGUUGUGUGUAGCCGCGAGUGUGCGCACCGUUAUGUGUCGGCGCCAAGAACGACUACACGUCUUAUGUGUACGUACGCACGCAUGGACUGUACGUACGGAUUGUAUAACAAAAUAAAAUGUACUAUGGAUUGUACAACAACCAACACUGAACAUUUCGAGCCUCUUCGGUUUAGUAUAACGAAAACUAGUCACCGUUUCAAUAUACAUUACCUUCAUAUAUAGGAGACUACUACCCAUCAUCAAUAUGCUUUGCAUUCAUUUCGAGGAGUCUCAUAUAUUGGUGUAACAGUAACUCUACUUAUAUUAGCAUGUACGUGUCUUACGUACGUAUAUGAGUAUAAACCACUUAUUAUGUGGCGACAUAAAGCGUUCACAUUUGAGGAAAACUUAAAUGCUCAUACUG